ensembl:snRNA U6 U6 spliceosomal RNA
UUGUAAAAUGCUGCACAUAUACUAAAAUUGGAACAAUACAGAGAAGUCGAGCAUGGUCCCUGUGCAUAGAAGAGAGUAGGAAAUAUGUAUAUAUAUAUUUUUUC